GAUGAACGCUGGCGGCGUGCCUAAUACAUGCAAGUCGAGCGAACUGAUUAGAAGCUUGCUUCUAUGAUGUUAGCGGCGGACGGGUGAGUAACACGUGGGCAACCUGCCUGUAAGACUGGGAUAACUUCGGGAAACCGAAGCUAAUACCGGAUAGGAUCUUCUCCUUCAUGGGAGAUGAUUGAAAGAUGGUUUCGGCUAUCACUUACAGAUGGGCACGCGGUGCAUUAGCUAGUUGGUGAGGUAACGGCUAACCAAGGCAACGAUGCAUAGCCGACCUGAGAGGGUGAUCGGCCACACUGGGACUGAGACACGGCCCAGACUCCUACGGGAGGCAGCAGUAGGGAAUCUUCCGCAAUGGACGAAAGUCUGACGGAGCAACGCCGCGUGAGUGAUGAAGGCUUUCCGGUCGUAAAACUCUGUUGUUAGGGAAGAACAAGUACGAGAGUAACUGCUCGUACCUUGACGGUACCUAACCAGAAAGCCACGGCUAACUACGUGCCAGCCGCCGCGGUAAAAC
rnacentral:rRNA from 1 species